CCAACGGCCCUCUUCAGGGCCAUAUAAUACGAAUACCAUGAAUGUG
rfam:Haemonchus placei strain MHpl1 genome assembly, scaffold: HPLM_scaffold0000606